UUAUGAUGUAGGGAGCUUUCUUCAGCCCACUCAUGGAUGUGAUUAAGGAAUUGAAUUAGCUGCCGACUCAUUCAUUUAACCACUUGGUAGAAAAAGGUUUGUUUUAUGCUACUUUGAUUGAAUGAAUGAUGCGGGAGAUAGUUUUCAUCCCUUGCUAAUCUAUGCUUGGACUGAAGGGAGCUCCCUCAUUCUUUUCA
rnacentral:pre_miRNA from 1 species